CUGGAGUAUAAAUGGGAAAGUUCAAUGCUGGGAAGGGUUUCUUCUUCUUCCUUUCUUGCCUUUUUCUUCCAUGAACUGAAGAUAGGACAGUGCUAAUCAAACACUGGGAGAUUAACUGGAAGAAAGUCCUUUUGCAAAGCCCUGAAGCCGAGUUCGCUCCCUCCAAGAACCUUUAGUGCUCGUUCUCACUCUGGAAAACCUGGAAGCGUUGAAUUGUGAGCUGAUUUUUCUGCAAACAGAGCACAGACGUGAAGGAGGUGCUGAUAAAGGACGAAUGCAUUGAUUUGUGAUAAAUCCAGAUAAAGCAGUUUUUUGGGGGAGCAGGGUGAUUUUCCUCCCAGCUUUUUGACCUUGUGCUGCUCUGAUAAUUGCUCAGAUGUGCCUGAGCCUCCGUUCUUUGGUGCAAAAGAUAAGUCGCCUCUGUAUAAAUGUGACCAUGUACCCCA